CGCUGGGGCCAAUCAAACUCAAAGGUCAGAGGCCAGUAGCAGGACUAAAACGUGCUGUGAAGGAUUUGGAGAAGUCAAAGGAAUGAAGUCAUCAUUUUCUUGAUAUUUACUUAAAUCAUUACUAUUAAUCAAUCUUUAUUAGCCACCCAGCAAUUAAAUCUAAAUACAAAUUGCAUUUUGCAGUUCAAUAAAGCACUUUAAAAAAGCA